AAGUCGUAACAAGGUUUCCGUAGGUGAACCUGCGGAAGGAUCAUUAAAAAAAUAAUGGCUAGCAUACUUUUGAGCGUGCGAAUCGUUGAAACCAUUUCCGAGUACAUUUUUCCGCGUUGCUUUCGCAGGUGAAUAAAUAUCAUCUGCGAGAGGUUUACAAAUUAAUUCGUUGUUUUCGUAUAUACCUAUCUACCAUCCGAAACAUACAAAACAAAAACAUGAAAAACUUUCAACAACGGAUCUCUUGGUUCUC
rnacentral:misc_RNA from 1 species